GUGGUUAAUCAAGUGUACUGUAGAUUAUUUUUAAUUUCUUGAACAUCAACUUUUCACACCAGGUUUACCUCUGCUGCAUUUUUUAUGGUUGAAAAGCCACAGAUACACCAGGGUAUGCUCUGAUCAUUUGUGGAUGUAAUUUGUCCAAACUCCAUGAACAGGAACAAGGUGCCAACAAAAUACCUUGCACAGAAGAUCCUUUCUACCAAGAAAGUAUAGACAUGUGUUUGAAAGUGCUGAUCAGUCCACAGAGUUAGAGUCAUUCCAGGGAUCAGAUUCAAUUUCAUGGCUAUGCCAAGUCACAUGCUGAUGACACCAGUGUCGGUGAUGAAAGCUCUGGAAGUGUCGGUGUUCAAGCAUCUCCUGACAAGCAUGAAAUCUCCACAUAUACCGAAAGACCAGAAAUAACCAUCAAAGACAUUAAUGCCUCAGACAAUAAAAUCAUGUUUUAUACUGGCUAGGCAACUUUCUUUUUUUAAAUUCUUUGUUUUUGACAUUAAUUGAAUUUGGUGCCGACAAGUAGUGUUGAAAAACUGAACACUGUUAAGAUUGAGACAGGGCGUAAAAGAAAGUUAAGACCUGUUGAUGAGUUUCAAUGGCAUAGUAAACACAUUAUUUGAUGCAACAUAAUAACUGUAUUGAUAA